UACGUAGGGUGCGAGCGUUGUCCGGAAUUAUUGGGCGUAAAGAGCUCGUAGGCGGCUUGUUGCGUCGGAUGUGAAAGCUCGGGGGCUUAACCCCGGGUCGGCAUUCGAUACGGGCAGGCUAGAGUUCGGUAGGGGAGACUGGAAUUCCCGGUGUAGCGGUGAAAUGCGCAGAUAUCGGGGAGGAACACCAGUAGCGAAGGCGGCACUCUGGGCCGAUACUGACGCUGAGGAGCGAAAGCGUGGGGAGCGAACAGG
rnacentral:rRNA from 1 species